UAGUUCUCACUUUAUCUUU
rnacentral:sRNA from 1 species